rnacentral:rRNA from 1 species
GGUUAAGUUAGAAAGGGCGCACGGUGAAUGCCUUGGCACUAGGAGCCGAUGAAGGACGGGACUAACACCGAUAUGCUUCGGGGAGCUGUAAGUGAGCUUUGAUCCGGAGAUUUCCGAAUGGGGAAACCCACUGUUCGUAAUGGAACAGUAUCUUUAUCUGAAUACAUAGGAUAUUGAAGGCAGACCCGGGAACUGAAACAUCUAAGUACCCGGAGGAAGAGAAAGCAAAUGCGAUUUCCUGAGUAGCGGCGAGCGAAACGGAAUUAGCCCAAACCAAGAGGCUUGCCUCUUGGGGUUGUAGGACACUCUAUACGGAGUUACAAAGGAACGAAGUAAAUGAAGCGACCUGGAAAGGUCCGUCGAAGAAGGUAACAACCCUGUAGUUGAAACUUCGUUCCCUCUUGAGUGGAUCCUGAGUACGGCGGAACACGUGAAAUUCCGUCGGAAGCUGGGAGGACCAUCUCCCAAGGCUAAAUACUACCUAGUGACCGAUAGUGAACCAGUACCGUGAGGGAAAGGUGAAAAGCACCCCGGAAGGGGAGUGAAAGAGAUCCUGAAACCGUGUGCCUACAAGUAGUCAGAGCCCGUUAACGGGUGAUGGCGUGCCUUUUGUAGAAUGAACCGGCGAGUUACGAUCCCAUGCAAGGUUAAGCUGAUAAGGCGGAGCCGUAGCGAAAGCGAGUCUGAAUAGGGCGUUUAGUAUGUGGUUGUAGACCCGAAACCAGGUGAUCUACCCAUGUCCAGGGUGAAGUUCAGGUAACACUGAAUGGAGGCCCGAACCCACGCACGUUGAAAAGUGCGGGGAUGAGGUGUGGGUAGCGGAGAAAUUCCAAUCGAACCUGGAGAUAGCUGGUUCUCUCCGAAAUAGCUUUAGGGCUAGCCUCAUGUUGUGAGAGUCUUGGAGGUAGAGCACUGAUUGGACUAGGGGCCCCCAACGGGUUACCGAAUUCAGUCAAACUCCGAAUGCCAAAGACUUAUCCAUGGGAGUCAGACUGCGAGUGAUAAGAUCCGUAGUCAAAAGGGAAACAGCCCAGACCACCAGCUAAGGUCCCCAAGUAUACGUUAAGUGGAAAAGGAUGUGGAGUUGCUUAGACAACCAGGAUGUUGGCUUAGAAGCAGCCACCAUUUAAAGAGUGCGUAAUAGCUCACUGGUCGAGUGACUCUGCGCCGAAAAUGUACCGGGGCUAAACGUAUCACCGAAGCUGUGGAUUGACAUCUUAGAUGUCAGUGGUAGGAGAGCGUUCUAAGUGCUGUGAAGUCAGACCGUAAGGACUGGUGGAGCGCUUAGAAGUGAGAAUGCCGGUAUGAGUAGCGAAAGACAAGUGAGAAUCUUGUCCACCGAAUGCCUAAGGUUUCCUGAGGAAGGCUCGUCCGCUCAGGGUUAGUCGGGACCUAAGCCGAGGCUGAAAAGCGUAGGCGAUGGCCAACAGGUUGAUAUUCCUGUACCACCUCCCCGCCGUUUGAGUAAUGGGGGACGCAGUAGGAUAGGGUAAGCGCGCUGCUGGAUAUGCGCGUUCAAGCAGUUAGGCUGAUGAGUAGGCAAAUCCGCUCAUCAUAAAGGCUGAGCUGUGAUGACGAGGGAAUUAUAGUACCGAAGUUCCUGAUUCCACACUGCCAAGAAAAGCCUCUAGCGAGGCGGGAGGUGCCCGUACCGCAAACCGACACAGGUAGGCGAGGAGAGAAUCCUAAGGUGAUCGAGAGAACUCUCGUUAAGGAACUCGGCAAAAUGACCCCGUAACUUCGGGAGAAGGGGUGCUCUGGUAGGGUGUAUAGCCCGAGAGAGCCGCAGUGAAUAGGCCCAGGCGACUGUUUAGCAAAAACACAGGUCUCUGCGAAGCCGCAAGGCGAAGUAUAGGGGCUGACGCCUGCCCGGUGCUGGAAGGUUAAGAGGAGGGGUUAUCCUUUGGGAGAAGCUCUGAAUCGAAGCCCCAGUAAACGGCGGCCGUAACUAUAACGGUCCUAAGGUAGCGAAAUUCCUUGUCGGGUAAGUUCCGACCCGCACGAAAGGCGUAACGAUCUGGGCACUGUCUCAACGAGAGACUCGGUGAAAUUAUAGUACCUGUGAAGAUGCAGGUUACCCGCGACAGGACGGAAAGACCCCGUGGAGCUUUACUGUAGCCUGAUAUUGAAUUUUGGUACAGCUUGUACAGGAUAGGUAGGAGCCUGAGAAGCCGGAGCGCUAGCUUCGGUGGAGGCGUCGGUGGGAUACUACCCUGGCUGUAUUGAAAUUCUAACCCGCGGCCCUGAUCGGGCCGGGAGACAGUGUCAGGUGGGCAGUUUGACUGGGGCGGUCGCCUCCUAAAAUGUAACGGAGGCGCCCAAAGGUUCCCUCAGAAUGGUUGGAAAUCAUUCGUAGAGUGUAAAGGCACAAGGGAGCUUGACUGCGAGACCUACAAGUCGAGCAGGGACGAAAGUCGGGCUUAGUGAUCCGGUGGUUCCGCAUGGAAGGGCCAUCGCUCAACGGAUAAAAGCUACCCCGGGGAUAACAGGCUUAUCUCCCCAAGAGUCCACAUCGACGGGGAGGUUUGGCACCUCGAUGUCGGCUCAUCGCAUCCUGGGGCUGUAGUCGGUCCCAAGGGUUGGGCUGUUCGCCCAUUAAAGCGGUACGCGAGCUGGGUUCAGAACGUCGUGAGACAGUUCGGUCCCUAUCCGUCGUGGGCGUAGGAAAUUUGAGAGGAGCUGUCCUUAGUACGAGAGGACCGGGAUGGACACACCGCUGGUGUACCAGUUGUCUUGCCAAAGGCAUCGCUGGGUAGCUAUGUGUGGACGGGAUAAGUGCUGAAAGCAUCUAAGCAUGAAGCCCCCUCAAGAUGAGAUUUCCCAUAGCGCAAGCUAGUAAGAUCCCUGAAAGAUGAUCAGGUUGAUAGGUCAGAGGUGGAAGCGUGGCGACAUGUGUAGCUGACUGAUACUAAUCGAUCGAGGACUUAACCAA